rnacentral:rRNA from 1 species
GACGAACGCUGGCGGCGUGCUUAACACAUGCAAGUCGAACGGAAAGGCCCUGCUUUUGUGGGGUGCUCGAGUGGCGAACGGGUGAGUAACACGUGAGUAACCUGCCCUUGACUUUGGGAUAACUUCAGGAAACUGGGGCUAAUACCGGAUAGGAGCUCCUGCUGCAUGGUGGGGGUUGGAAAGUUUCGGCGGUUGGGGAUGGACUCGCGGCUUAUCAGCUUGUUGGUGGGGUAGUGGCUUACCAAGGCUUUGACGGGUAGCCGGACUGAGAGGGUGACCGGCCACAAUGGGACUAAGAUACGGCCCAGACUCCUACGGGAGGCAGCAGUGGGGAAUAUUGCACGAUGGGCGGAAGCCUGAUGCAGCAACGCCGCGUGCGGGAUGACGGCCUUCGGGUUGUAAACCGCUUUCGCCUGUGACGAAGCGUGAGUGACGGUAAUGGGUAAAGAAGCACCGGCUAACUACGUG